AGGUUUCAGACGUGAAGGCGACACCGUUUCAGCCGUACAGCGAGGUGUUUGGUCUGCAGAGGUUCCGUGAGUGUGAGCUGAUUCAUGGGAGGUGGGCCAUGUUGGCUACUCUUGGUGCGCUUACUGUUGAAUGGCUCACUGGAGUUACCUGGCAAGACGCAGGCAAGGUUAGUUUACUUACCUGCUGCCCUGAAAUGCUUUUAGAAACCAUCCUUUUGCUGCAUGAUUGAGUCAUGAUCUGUUUUGAGUGCUAAUUAACGUUAAGAUAUAGUAGAAAGGCUGCCAAGCUUAAUUUUCGAUGCCUUUUGUUGAUGGAUUCAUUAGAAAUAUUGUUGAAACUUGAAACUGAGUAGCAUAUGGGAAUAGAAACUUGUUUGAUGAGAAACCUUUUCAGGGUAAAAUGUAGUUAUUGUCUUGAUCCUUCUGGAUUUGAGAAAGGAAGUCAUUCUGCACAUUUAUCUGAUGAGGAAUUAGUAAAUUAGAGCAGAUUUACUUGUUUGAAACUCGGCAUGGCCAAUGUAAGUUGCUUUCAGAGGGAAUAACAUAAACUGUCUGGUUAUUUCAGGUAGAGCUGGUUGAGGGGUCAUCUUACCUAGGCCAACCCCUUCCGUUCAACAUUUCAACAUUGAUUUGGAUCGAAGUCUUGCUGAUCGGAUACAUUGAAUUCCAAAGGAACGCAGAGCUUGACCCUGAGAAGAGGCUGUACCCCGGAGGAAAGUUCUUUGACCCUCUUGGCUUGGC
rnacentral:lncRNA from 1 species